UUUCUAUUCAAGUGUAGGGAUCAUAAUUAAGCCAUGGGUGUCUCCACCUUCACACAAGAAUACACUUCCCCAGUUGCCCCAUCACGUAUGUUUAAGGCCUUAAUCCUCGACUCAAACAUUUUGAUUCCAAAGCUCUUACCCCAAUUCAUCAAAAGCGUGGAUGUAAUCCAAGGUAGUGAAGGGACUGGGACCAUUGAACAAGUCAACUUCACUGAAGCAAGCGACUUGAAAUAUGUGAAGAAUCGGAUUGAAGAGCUAGAUAAAGACAAUCUUGUGUGCAAGUAUACUCUGAUUGAGGGAGAUCCUCUGGGGGACAAGCUUGAUUCUAUUGCUUAUGAGGUCAAGUUUGAGGCAGCAAGUGAUGG
rnacentral:misc_RNA from 1 species